rnacentral:rRNA from 1 species
UACAGAGGUCCCAAGCGUUGUUCGGAUUCACUGGGCGUAAAGGGUGCGUAGGCGGUCGGGUAAGUCUGAUGUGAAAUCUCACAGCUUAACUGUGAAACUGCAUUGGAUACUAUUCGGCUAGAGAGUUGGAGGGGGGACUGGAAUUCUCGGUGUAGCAGUGAAAUGCGCAGAUAUCAGGAGGAACACCGGUGGCGAAGGCGGGUCUCUGGGCCGUAACUGACGCUGAGGAGCGAAAGCGUGGGGAGCGAACAGG